rnacentral:tRNA from 1 species
CCUUAAGUAGCUUAACAAAAAGCCUCAGCCUCUUGAUCUGAAAAUGGACACAUGUCCCUUAAGGA